rnacentral:lncRNA from 1 species
GGAGCAGUUUGACCUGCUGGUUCAACAGGUCAGAGGCCUCAUCGAAGCAGUGCAGGCCAUGCAGCAGCAGCCACAGCAGCUGCAGGUGUUGGUGUGGUUGGAAAGAGUAUCGUCGGAGUUUCAGAAUCCGACGACCGGGUGGGCCACAUGGGCCAGCCAUCCUAUCUUUCCCAGAAAAGAAAAACAAAAGGCGGAGAGUCCUCCGUCUGAUCAUGAUUCAACCCCCAGAGAGUUCCUGCCUCCGCUCCACCAGAAGACCCUCGAGGCCCGCAAUCGAGAGGACCUCCUGGAUCAGAGAUUUCAGGAGAUGAACCGACAGAUCGAAGAGCUCC